AUGAACGCUGGCGGCGUGCCUAAUACAUGCAAGUCGAGCGAACAGACGAGGAGCUUGCUCCUCUGACGUUAGCGGCGGACGGGUGAGUAACACGUGGAUAACCUACCUAUAAGACUGGGAUAACUUCGGGAAACCGGAGCUAAUACCGGAUAAUAUAUUGAACCGCAUGGUUCAAUAGUGAAAGACGGUUUUGCUGUCACUUAUAGAUGGAUCCGCGCCGCAUUAGCUAGUUGGUAAGGUAACGGCUUACCAAGGCAACGACGCGUAGCCGACCUGAGAGGGUGAUCGGCCACACUGGAACUGAGACACGGUCCAGACUCCUACGGGAGGCAGCAGUAGGGAAUCUUCCGCAAUGGGCGAAAGCCUGACGGAGCAACGCCGCGUGAGUGAUGAAGGUCUUCGGAUCGUAAAACUCUGUUAUUAGGGAAGAACAAAUGUGUAAGUAACUAUGCACGUCUUGACGGUACCUAAUCAGAAAGCCACGGCUAACUACGUG
rnacentral:rRNA from 1 species